GACGAACGCUGGCGGCGUGCUUAACACAUGCAAGUCGAACGGAAAGGCCCUGCUUUUGUGGGGUGCUCGAGUGGCGAACGGGUGAGUAACACGUGAGUAACCUGCCCUUGACUUUAGGAUAACUUCAGGAAACUGGGGCUAAUACCGGAUAGGAGCUCCUGCUGCAUGGUGGGGGUUGGAAAGUUUCGGCGGUUGGGGAUGGACUCGCGGCUUAUCAGCUUGUUGGUGGGGUAGUGGCUUACCAAGGCUUUGACGGGUAGCCGGCCUGAGAGGGUGACCGGCCACAUUGGGACUGAGAUACGGCCCAGACUCCUACGGGAGGCAGCAGUGGGGAAUAUUGCACAAUGGGCGGGAGCCUGAUGCAGCAACGCCGCGUGCGGGAUGACGGCCUUCGGGUUGUAAACCGCUUUCGCCUGUGACGAAGCGUGAGUGACGGUAAUGGGUAAAGAAGCACCGGCUAACUACGUG
rnacentral:rRNA from 1 species